rnacentral:rRNA from 1 species
GAUGAACGCUGGCGGCGUGCCUAAUACAUGCAAGUCGAGCGAACAGACGAGGAGCUUGCUCCUGUGACGUUAGCGGCGGACGGGUGAGUAACACGUGGAUAACCUACCUAUAAGACUGGGAUAACUUCGGGAAACCGGAGCUAAUACCGGAUAACAUGUUGAACCGCAUGGUUCAACAGUGAAAGACGGUCUUGCUGUCACUUAUAGAUGGAUCCGCGCCGCAUUAGCUAGUUGGUAAGGUAACGGCUUACCAAGGCAACGAUGCGUAGCCGACCUGAGAGGGUGAUCGGCCACACUGGAACUGAGACACGGUCCAGACUCCUACGGGAGGCAGCAGUAGGGAAUCUUCCGCAAUGGGCGAAAGCCUGACGGAGCAACGCCGCGUGAGUGAAGAAGGUCUUCGGAUCGUAAAACUCUGUUAUUAGGGAAGAACAAAUGUGUAAGUAACUAUGCACGUCUUGACGGUACCUAAUCAGAAAGCCACGGCUAACUACGUG